GAUGAACGCUGGCGGCGUGCCUAAUACAUGCAAGUCGAGCGAACAGACGGGGAGAUUGCUCCUUUGCCGUUAGCGGCGGACGGGUGAGUAACACGUGGAUAACCUACUUCUAAGACUGGGAUAACUUCGGGAAACCGGAGCUACUAACGGCUAAUAUAUUGAACGGCAUGGUUCAAUAGUGCAUGACGGUUUUGCUGUUACUUAUAGCUGGAUUCGCGUCGCCUUAGCUAGUUGGUAAGGUAACGGCUUACCAAGGAAACGAUGCGUAGCCGACCUGAGAGGGUGAUCGGCCACACUGGAACUGAGACACGGUCCAGACUCCUACGGGAGGCAGCAGUGGGGAAUCUUCCACAAUGGCGGAAGCCUUGCGCAGCAAAGCCGCGGUAGGGAUAAAAGGCUUCGGAUCGGAAAACUCUGUUAGUAGGGAAAAACAAGCGUCUAAUUAACUAUGCGCUUCUUGACGGGACCUAAUCAGAAAAGCACGGCUUACUACGUG
rnacentral:rRNA from 1 species